AUAUCUCCCUGCACGUUCACUUUAUUAUCAGUGAAGUUAUCACUUCAAAGUAGGUUGCCAUAUUAUUAUCCUGCAAACCCCUCAUUUUCAUAAUACAAAACUACGACUGUAAGACCUGAACUCUAUACUAGUUUCUUCCUCAUUCCAGUAUCGCAUUCUGCUGGACAACAGGAUUCCAAAAACUAGGGGUUAGCAUUACCGUACGGAGUGUCUUCCACAGGCUGUAAUUUCACAUUUUUCUGGGUCUUUUGGAUUGCUUCGCUCAAUUUCUGGAGAAGACAAAAAGGGAAAAUGGGAACAACUGUUACCACUUACCAAUCAGGAAUGCUGACUAACAUAAUCCAAAUGAAAACAUGAAUAGAUUGAGAAAUUGGAAAUAUUGAACAGUCUUGAAGUGACCUGAAUUACAUCAUCCGACGAAUUUUCGGGAAUCACCCAAGGAAAUGCAAACGAUGAUGACCUGGGGUUUGUGGAUAUACAGCCCGGAUUGACCGAAGGGCAAGGUUGAAGGGACUGGUGGCUUAGAUUUAGGUGUGAUGAAAUUCAUAUAUUAUUGUGCUUUUACCAACAGUGCAUACCAGGUAUACUAUGUAAAUAUUUCUAUGUUUAUUUGUAAUUGGACAUUUAUCACAAGAAUUAAUUUUAAAAUCCUUUAACAUAAUAAAAUUUGCAUUAUCUCAAAUUUUCCUUAAAGAAAUUCUCUCUAUAUAUAUACAUAUACUUCCUUUAUUAAAAAAUAUAAAAUAUUUUUUAAGAAGUUAAAUAUUAAAAGAUGUAAAAUAUUUUUAAUAUUUUAAUUUAUAAUUAUAGCUUUUUUUUAAAUGCACCUAUUAAAAAAUAACUUUGUCUUCAUUUUAGAAUAAAACACUUUAUUACAUAAGAGUAAAUAUAUAAAGAUAGUAUUAGUUUAAAAACAAGUAACUACUUCAUCGAAGCAAAAAUCGAUUAAAAAUACCUUACAUUUUAAAAUGAAAGGAGUAUAUUACUAUAAUGUAAUACUCCUCUAGUCUUCUUUAUAUGUUAUUUCUACAAAUUUCAUUAAUAUCAAUGUAAAAAAAUAAUAGGAAUAAAAGUGUAUAAAUUUUUAA